rnacentral:rRNA from 1 species
GUCGAGCGGUAGCACAGAGAGCUUGCUCUCGGGUGACGAGCGGCGGACGGGUGAGUAAUGUCUGGGAAACUGCCUGAUGGAGGGGGAUAACUACUGGAAACGGUAGCUAAUACCGCAUAACGUCGCAAGACCAAAGUGGGGGACCUUCGGGCCUCAUGCCAUCAGAUGUGCCCAGAUGGGAUUAGCUAGUAGGUGGGGUAACGGCUCACCUAGGCGACGAUCCCUAGCUGGUCUGAGAGGAUGACCAGCCACACUGGAACUGAGACACGGUCCAGACUCCUACGGGAGGCAGCAGUGGGGAAUAUUGCACAAUGGGCGCAAGCCUGAUGCAGCCAUGCCGCGUGUGUGAAGAAGGCCUUCGGGUUGUAAAGCACUUUCAGCGGGGAGGAAGGCGGUGAGGUUAAUAACCUCAUCGAUUGACGUUACCCGCAGAAGAAGCACCGGCUAACUCCGUGCCAGCAGCCGCGGUAAUACGGAGGGUGCAAGCGUUAAUCGGAAUUACUGGGCGUAAAGCGCACGCAGGCGGUCUGUCAAGUCGGAUGUGAAAUCCCCGGGCUCAACCUGGGAACUGCAUUCGAAACUGGCAGGCUAGAGUCUUGUAGAGGGGGGUAGAAUUCCAGGUGUAGCGGUGAAAUGCGUAGAGAUCUGGAGGAAUACCGGUGGCGAAGGCGGCCCCCUGGACAAAGACUGACGCUCAGGUGCGAAAGCGUGGGGAGCAAACAGGAUUAGAUACCCUGGUAGUCCACGCUGUAAACGAUGUCGAUUUGGAGGUUGUGCCCUUGAGGCGUGGCUUCCGGAGCUAACGCGUUAAAUCGACCGCCUGGGGAGUACGGCCGCAAGGUUAAAACUCAAAUGAAUUGACGGGGGCCCGCACAAGCGGUGGAGCAUGUGGUUUAAUUCGAUGCAACGCGAAGAACCUUACCUGGUCUUGACAUCCACAGAACUUUCCAGAGAUGGAUUGGUGCCUUCGGGAACUGUGAGACAGGUGCUGCAUGGCUGUCGUCAGCUCGUGUUGUGAAAUGUUGGGUUAAGUCCCGCAACGAGCGCAACCCUUAUCCUUUGUUGCCAGCGGUUAGGCCGGGAACUCAAAGGAGACUGCCAGUGAUAAACUGGAGGAAGGUGGGGAUGACGUCAAGUCAUCAUGGCCCUUACGACCAGGGCUACACACGUGCUACAAUGGCAUAUACAAAGAGAAGCGACCUCGCGAGAGCAAGCGGACCUCAUAAAGUAUGUCGUAGUCCGGAUUGGAGUCUGCAACUCGACUCCAUGAAGUCGGAAUCGCUAGUAAUCGUAGAUCAGAAUGCUACGGUGAAUACGUUCCCGGGCCUUGUACACACCGCCCGUCACACCAUGGGAGUGGGUUGCAAAAGAAGUAGGUAGCUUAACCUUCGGGAGGGCGCUA